GCGAAGAAAUCGGUUGGCUGCGAUAACGUCUGUAGUGCAUUCCAGCUCAGAAAUGUUAGGACCCAUCCAAGCGUAGGAACUGGAUUCAUAAACGAGGUUACAGCUGUAAGACAGAAUGCUAUCGAACUGUGUGGGGUAGAAGAGGACGAUGGGGACGUGUUCAUGACACCGGGAACGGAAACAGAUGACCACAGGCUGCUUCCUGCGGAAUACCAAUUGUCAGAGGAGAAAGAGCUGCCAUGUUGGUGCUAGCCCGGGAUUUAACUCAGAACCAGCGUUUGCAGAUUUACGGCAGCUACUUUGUGGAGCACGAAGGCAGCUCAGCUCUCCUCUGCUCAGGAAGACAGUGACAGAAAGUCACACUAGAAAAGGUUCUGCAGGUAAAAAUUAUCCCAGCAGCUCCUGUGCUUCAGAUCCAGUCCUGUGUCGUAUUGUCUUAAUGGAAUUCAUGCUAAAUGCAGACAGCAAAAAGUCAAGGCCAACAGCCUCUCUACAGCCAGGUAAAGAACAACACGGCUGUGUGACCGUCAGUUCUGGAGACUGAGCACCCAAGCAGCUCUCGCGUGAGGUCUCUUAUGGGGUUACCCAGUGUGGGGCUGGCAUACCCUGUGUCCAGGGCUUCCUCUCUGACGUGUCUGCUUGGUGCUGGCAGGCUGGAUAGAGGGUUAUCAGCUCCCUAAGGAAGCCCACAGUGCCUCCUUUGCUAAGCCAAUGAUCAUGCCUAGAUGCCCUGAGAUGCAUUUGCCAGGGUGAGUUUCUCAAAGAACAAAAGCCAAAGAGAUCCUUUUUGUAGCCUAGUAAUAUUCAAAACUCCACCAAACCCCUCAGUUUGACAAUAGCUCAGCACUCGGCACCACACAUAAACACCAAUCUACAUCCUAUUUUGUUGUUAGUGAAAUGUUGAUGGCCUAGAACAAUAUUAAAAUUUUCAAAUGUC